ACCAUUCCUCCCCUUUCCCUGCACCAUUCUCCUUUUCCUGCUCUGUUCCCACUUCCCUGCACCCUUCCUUUCCCUGCAGCGUUCCUUCACCUUCUCUGCACCAUUCCUUCCCUCUUCCCUGCUCUGUUUCCCCUUUCCUUUCAUCAUUCCCCCUUUCCCUGCAGUGUUCCCCUUUCCCUGCUCUGUUCCCUCUUCCCUUCACUGUUCUUUCCUCAUUCCCUGCACCUCUCACCAUUCCCCCUUUUCCCUGCACCAUUCCCCUUUCCCUGCACCAUUCCCCCUUUUCCCUGCACCAUUCCCCUUUUCCCUGCACCAUUCCCCCUUUUCCCUGCACCAUUCCCCCUUUUCCCUGCACCAUUCCCCUUUCCCUGCACCAUUCCCUUUUCCCUGCACCAUUCCCUUUUCCCUGCACCAUUCCCAAAGCAGCCAGCGAUCCUCUCUGAGCUCUCACACCCUGGCUGCUGCUCCAGCCUCUCUGUGCCUCAGUUUCCCCCGCACAGGGAAAAAUUCCUUUAAUUUUUUUUUUUUUUUUUUUUACCUCAGCAAUUAAUUUUCCCUAUUUAAACUAGUAUCACUUCGUUUUACCUCACACAGCACAGAGGGAACAGGUCAGCACAGCAGGGUCUUAAAUCCACGCAGAAAGAGAAAAACGCACAUGGUUCCAAAGCUCAAGAGGCCGGUGUAGAAACAACUGUGCACAAAAAACUCAGGCUUAUCUCCUUUCUGUUUUGGGUUAACUUUGAGACAAAUCGAGGUCGUGUGCUGUCCCAGGCAUACUUUGUUGACGAGAAGUUCUGAAACACAGCAGGAAGCCACCAAAACUGCUUAUUCCCAGAUUUCCCCCUGAUGCUCAUAGGAAAUGCGUACCUCUAAGACCUCCAUCCCAUCCCCUGUCAAACAGGGUUGAAAUCACCCAGCAUUACACAGAGAAGGCAGACAGGCAGAUGGGCAUGAGCCCAAAAGCUUAUUUUCCUAAAAAAAAAAAAAACCAAAACUGGGUCACACGCAGAAGAAAUGGCAGCAACAGGGCUGAGAAGUGCCAGGAGGGAGCCUGGGCAGGAGAGGGUCACUCAGCAGCAGCAGCACUGAUGGGCUAAGAAAGUGACGGCAAGGACACGCUGAAAAAAAUCCAAUGAAUCCUGUUUUCCUGCGCUGUGGAAGCUGAGCUGGCUGAAAUGGGGGGGGUUGCAGGAAGAGGAGAACUGUUCCAGGGGACAGAUUGUCACCCAGGCACGGACAGCUCCCACUGGGAUCACAGAUGUCCCUGUCCCCUCGGUGCAGCCCUGCCUUUGUGACCUGUUUGGGACACAGCAGCCUCCAGGACCCGGCUUAAGAGAGACCGAGUUGAACCAAAGAUACCAAAUGAGAUUUCAGGAGAAUAAAGGAGACUUUGCACUUGCUCAGGGGAGGAUCUGCCUCUGUCCUCGCUGGAUAUUUUGGAGCAACUCCUCGUUUUAGCUCCCUCAGGGGAGAAGAUGCUCAACCCCAGCACCCCACCGCGGUGAAAAUCCAGCUGCAGAGCAAGUCAGAGGAGGUUAUCUCGUUAUUAUCAUCCAUGGCACAUCACCAGGGAGAUCUGAUUUCAUUAUUAUCAUCCUCUGGAGACCUGAGGGGACGCUGAGCUCGAGGUCUCGUCCCUCUGAUUCAUUCCUGUGAUGCAGCUGGAACCCUUUGCCCUGUGACUCACAGCAUUUGUGGAAAGAAGAAAGAGGCCUCAGUUUCUUUUUCAGCUGAGGGAGCAGAAGUGCCCCUUUGCUUCCUCCAUCCUAAGCAAAACUCCUGUGGGAGAAGGACAAAACAGGGAGGGAUCUCUCGGGGGCAGCUCAGCUCAUUUUCUGGGUGCUCCUGGGGUUCCAGAAAACCCCCUGGCUUUUCCUGGAUGGCCCCUUUGGAGCUGGAGACUUUUCCUCCCUGCUGGGAGCCUCUGAUGACAAAUCUGCAGCUGAAAUACACCCUGUUCUCACUGCCCUUUUGGAUUAAAAAAAAAAAAAAAAAAUAGAAGUGUUUGUGCAAGGCGAUUUCUGAGGUUAUAAAAAUAUCACCCGGAGUCUCAAAGCGCUUCCCAAGCCCUGCUUCUCCUUCUGCAUCUUCCCCGAGGGAAAAACACCACAGGCUGGAUUUGCUCUUGCUUCAGGGUCCCCCAAAAUAAUCUUUUCUCCCAAGUGUGGGCAAGUUGUCUUUAUUGAGAAGAUUCUUGAUGAAAAUGUUUGGUAUAACGGGGUUGUGGAAACCCCUGAGCAGGCGGCAGCGAUGUCCAACCAUCAAAUCCCUCCUGGUGGUGAAUGGAAAAGAAAUUUUGGGGUGGACACCUACCCCAAAAGGGUGGAAGGGGCUGAAGGACGCGGGGGCCCAUCACUGCUCUGAUUUCUGCUGCCCUGGAGCUCCUGGCUGCUGUCAGGUUGAGGAUUUCUCACCUCUGAGUCUCUCACCUGGAGGUGAGAAUUGCAAUUACGCACAGGAGCUGAGAAAUUACACCACCCUCCACCCCUCCAGCAAUUUGCUAUGUUGCCUACCAAAAAUAGCCGUGAUUCCUGGGAUUUGUGGUCCUGGGGUCACCUCUAGAUGGGCUUGGGCUGUUGAAAAGAUGACAGAUCUAAUGUUGCUGCUCAUGUUUCACCAUCCUGGAAGAGAAAGGAAGGUGGAAAGAGGAGAAAAGCGAGAAAAACUCUACACAGCUGCAUGGAGAGGCAGAAAAAUCGAGAAUAUUCACAGGCAGAGCUUUUAUUUUGCUGUGGUUUCUCCUCUCAGAGCUGAUUUAGGUGGCAGAAGGAUCCACUCAGCUGGAGCACCUUUGAGAGCCCCUCAGCUGUGGCACUGAGGGCUGCAGAGCAGGGGGAGCAGAUCAGCUCCGUGCUCCCAACACCGACCCCCAGGGAUGUUGGGAAAAUUGCCUCAGCUCUCUCGGCCUCAUUUUUUCCCCUCCUUCUCUUGGAAGCAGCUGCACUUCAUGACUCGGUGGCGUGCAGGGUGACCUGGCAGUGAGGAGAUGUUUAACCUCAGCACUGCUGACUGCUGGCACCUCGGGAGGAAGCUGCAGCAGCAGUGGGGUGAUGCCUCAGGUUUGAGCUUUUAUAUUUUCAGAUUCUCUGCUGCUUUAGUGUGAGGGUCUGAGCUUCACAUCAGGGGAUGGUGAGCUCUGUGCACAGAGCAGGGAGACAAAACAAUUCCUGCUCCAGCUGGGCACCAAGGACAAAUGAUCCAAAGCUCAGGCCCAGGAGCACAAACAGCGUGGGCUGGAGAGAGAAAAACAAGCAGGAUGGGAGUGCAUGGGCUAAAGCUGGAAUGGGACAAUGAACUGCAAGGUGCAAAUGGAGCAGAGCUGAUCCCAGUGAGAGCCCCCGGGAGUGCUCGUGCAUUUUGGGACCAUUUUGGUUCCUCUUGGGUGCAGCCCUGGCUGGGCUCUGGUACUGCCCAAGGUGGAUCCAUGGAGGAGAUCCUUUGAAUAAAUCCCUGUUUUAUUCUUUA